rnacentral:rRNA from 1 species
UACGUAGGGCGCAAGCGUUGUCCGGAAUUAUUGGGCGUAAAGAGCUUGUAGGCGGUUUGUCGCGUCUGCUGUGAAAAUCCGGGGCUCAACCCCGGACUUGCAGUGGGUACGGGCAGACUGGAGUGUGGUAGGGGAGACUGGAAUUCCUGGUGUAGCGGUGGAAUGCGCAGAUAUCAGGAGGAACACCGAUGGCGAAGGCAGGUCUCUGGGCCACUACUGACGCUGAGAAGCGAAAGCAUGGGGAGCGAACAGG